GACGAACGCUGGCGGCGUGCCUAAUACAUGCAAGUCGAGCGAAGUUUUUCUGGUGCUUGCACUAGAAAAACUUAGCGGCGAACGGGUGAGUAACACGUAAAGAACCUGCCUCAUAGACUGGGACAACUAUUGGAAACGAUAGCUAAUACCGGAUAACAGUAUUUCUCGCAUGAGAGGUAUUUAAAAGUUGGUUAUGCUAACACUAUGAGAUGGCUUUGCGGUGCAUUAGCUAGUUGGUGGGGUAAAGGCCCACCAAGGCGACGAUGCAUAGCCGACCUGAGAGGGUGAUCGGCCACACUGGGACUGAGACACGGCCCAGACUCCUACGGGAGGCAGCAGUAGGGAAUCUUCCGCAAUGGGCGAAAGCCUGACGGAGCAACGCCGCGUGAGUGAAGAAGGAUUUCGGUUCGUAAAGCUCUGUUGUUAGGGAAGAAUGGAUAUGUAGUAACUAUACAUGUAAGAGACGGUACCUAACCAGAAAGCCACGGCUAACUACGUG
rnacentral:rRNA from 1 species